GUGCUGAGGCAGCUGGGGGUGCUGGGGGGUCUGAACCCCAUUAUGGCUCUCUGGUACCCCCAGGGUGCCAGGAGGGACCCUGCCCCACGCUGGCUGUCCUGACGCCUUGUGGGGCGGGGGGUGCCUACAGUCCCCAGGGCCAGGCUGUCCUGUCCUGGUAGUGGUGGCAACAGUGGCAGUGGUGGCAGUGGUGACAGGAGAGCCCCUGGGCUGUGUCCCCCAUAAAUCAGGUUCACCGUGGCACUUACCUGGCCUCAGUGGAAUGCCAGGUCAUGGUGCCACCUCAUGUCCCCAGCGUGUUCCAUCCUUGCUGGGGACCUCUGACCAGGGGGUGGCUCUGAUGAGUGUCUGGGCACAGGGGGAGAGAGGAUGUGGGGGUUGGCAGAGCCCACUAACCCUCUGCACCCUCCAGCUGGGUCCAGGAGUUCCUCAACGAGGAGAACAAGGGGCUGGACGUGCUGCUGGAGUACCUCGCCUUUGCCCAGUGCUCUGUCGCGUACGACAUGGAGAGCGCAGAGAGCAGCCCCGGCUCCGACAAGGGCAAGGAGCGGUCGCUGGAGGACCUGAACAAAAGCAGCUGCUCGUCCCCCGCGCAGGGCUCCUCCAAGCCGCGGCCGCUCACUGUCAGGCUCUAACGCGCCUCCAGCUGCUGCCUCUCGAACCAGCACAUCCACACCCUCCUCCGCCACGUUCACCCCAGCGUCCCCUGCGGUGCCCCGGGCAGCGAUGGGGACAGUGCCCCCAGGUCACCCGGCAGCUCCUGCCCGCCCCGGCUGAGCUCCUCGCACAGCAGGAAGGCGCUGCGCAACUCGCGGCUCGUCAGCCAGAAGGACGACGUCCAUGUGUGCAUCAUGUGCCUCCGCGCCAUCAUGAACUACCAGUCUGGCUUCAGCCUGGUGAUGAACCACCCAGCCUGUGUCAACGAGAUCACCCUGAGCCUCAA
rnacentral:lncRNA from 1 species